rnacentral:tRNA from 1 species
GCCUGAGUAGCUCAGUGGUAGAGCUAGUGACUAGAGUUGCAGGUAUCCCGGGUUCGAUUCCCGGUCCAGCCA